rnacentral:rRNA from 1 species
UACGGAGGGUGCAAGCGUUAUCCGGAUUCACUGGGUUUAAAGGGUGCGUAGGUGGGUCUGUAAGUCCGUGGUGAAAUCUCCAAGCUUAACUUGGAAACUGCCAUGGAUACUAUAGGUCUUGAAUACCGUGGAGGUGAGCGGAAUAUGUCAUGUAGCGGUGAAAUGCUUAGAUAUGACAUAGAACACCAAUUGCGAAGGCAGCUCACUACACGAAUAUUGACACUGAGGCACGAAAGCGUGGGGGAGCAAACAGG